rnacentral:rRNA from 1 species
UAUGGAGGGGAACCGCCUGAACUGAAACAUCUAAGUAGGGCGAGGAAGAGAAAUCAAACGAGAUUUCGUAAGUAGUGGCGAGCGAACGCGAAAGAGGCUAAACCAAGAGAAGAAAUUCUUUUGGGGUUACGGACUGCGAUAUGUAUCUGAGGACUUAGCAGAAUGGUAUGGGAAAGCCAACCAGAGAAUGUGAUAGUCAUGUAUGCGAAAAGGAAUCAGAGCUAGCAGGAUCCAAAGUACCGCGGGACACGAGGAAUCCCGUGGGAAGUCGGGGGGACCACCCUCCAAGCCUAAAUACUACCCAAUGACCGAUAGCGAAAAGUACUGUGAAGGAACGGUGAAAAGAACCCCGGGAGGGGAGUGAAAAGAACCUGAAACUCUAUGCUUACAAGCACAUAGAGCACGUCAAAGUGUGAUAUGGUACCUUUUGUAGAAUGGUCCGGCGAGUUAUUGUAUGCAGCAAGGUUAAGGUCUUCAGGACUGAAGCCGAAGCGAGAGCGAGUCUGACAAGGGCGAUAAGUUGCAUGCAAUAGACCCGAAACCGGGUGACCUAGCCAUGUUCAGGUUGAAGUGGAGGUAAAGCUCCAUGGAGGACCGAACCGACCUCCGUUGAAAAGGCGGCGGAUGAAAUGUGGCUAGCGGAGAAAUUCCAAUCGAACCCGGAAAUAGCUGGUUCUCCCCGAAAUAGCUUUAGGGCUAGCGUUGUAUUAGAUUUCUGGGGGUAAAGCACUGAAUAGGCUAGGGGCCGAGAGGUUACUGAACCUUAUCAAACUAAGAAUACCAGAAAAUUGAUGUACAGCAGUCAGACUAUGUGAGAUAAGUCUCAUAGUCAAAAGGGAAACAGCCCAGACCCACAGCUAAGGUCCCAAAACAGAUUUAAGUGGAAAAGGAUGUGGGAUUGCCCAGACAACCAGGAUGUUGGCUUAGAAGCAGCCACACAUUAAAAGAGUGCGUAAUAGCUCACUGGUCGAGUGAUCCUGCGCCGAAAAUUCAACGGGGCUAAAAUUUGUACCGAAGCUUGGGCUUGAUACAUUCGUAUCAGGGGUAGGGGAGCGUCAUGUAUGAGGUGAAGUCGUAGCGAAAGCGGCGGUGGAUUGUACAUGAGAGAGAAUGCCGGAAUGAGUAGCGAGAAUUAUGUGAGAAUCAUAAUGGCCGAAAAUCUAAGGUUUCCUGAGGAAGGUUCGUCCGCUCAGGGUAAGCCGGGAGCUAAGGUGAGGCGGAAACGCGUAGCCGAUGCACAUACGGUAGAGAUUCCGUAGCCUCCGAAAAGUAAAGCACAGGGACGCUUCAGAAGUGUUACGCCGGGCGAUGGUUGCCCCGGUUGUAAAGGACACAAUUGAGUGGAAGGUAACAUGGAUGGAGACAAGAAAAGCUGUGUGUAUCUGGAAGGAGCCCGUACCGCAAACCGACACAGGUAGAUAGGAAGAAGAUUCUAAGGCCAGCGGGAGAAGGGUUGUUAAGGAACUCGGCAAGUUGACCCCGUAACUUCGGGAGAAGGGGUGCUUACGAAGGUAAGCCGCAGAGAAUAGGCCCAAGCGACUGUUUAGCAAAAACACAGCUCUAUGCUAAAUCGAAAGAUGACGUAUAUGGGGUGACACCUGCCCGGUGCUGGAAGGUUAAGAGGAGAUGUGAGAGCAUUGAAUUGAAGCCCCAGUAAACGGCGGCCGUAACUAUAACGGUCCUAAGGUAGCGAAAUUCCUUGUCAGGUAAGUUCUGACCCGCACGAAUGGUGUAACGAUUUGGGCACUGUCUCAACAACCUACCCGGCGAAAUUGUAGUACCGGUGAAGAUGCCGGUUACCCGCGACUAGACGGAAAGACCCCAUGGAGCUUCACUGUAGCUUAAUAUUGAAUUUUGGUAUUUCAUGUACAGGAUAGGUGGGAGACUGGGAAAUACAGGCGUCAGCUUGUAUGGAGUCACUGUUGGGAUACCACUCUUGAGGUGCUGAAAUUCUAACCUGCGUCUUUGAAUCAAGACGGGGGACAUUGUUAGGUGGGCAGUUUGACUGGGGCGGUCGCCUCCAAAAGAGUAACGGAGGCGCUCAAAGGUUCGCUCAGCAUGGACGGAAACCAUGCCAAAGAGUGCAAACGCAAAAGCGAGCCUAACUGCGAGACUGACGGGUCGAGCAGUAACGAAAGUUGGAGUUAG